AUCCUCUCAGGGUCGCAUCUGGAGAGUUUCCAGUACUCUACCAGCCUUGAUUCAGGAGGGAGAGUCAAGCUGAGGUCUAUCCAUUCCAUUCCUAGCUUGGGCAGUGGCUAGCCAUUGGAAAGUAAUCUGCUACAAGU